rnacentral:rRNA from 1 species
CCUACGGGAGGCAGCAGUGGGGAAUCUUGCGCAAUGGGGGCAACCCUGACGCAGCCAUGCCGCGUGAAUGAUGAAGGCCUUAGGGUUGUAAAGUUCUUUUGCCCGUGACGAUGAUGACGGUAACGGGAGAAUAAGCUCCGGCUAACUUCGUGCCAGCAGCCGCGGUAAUACGAAGGGGGCUAGCGUUGUUCGGAAUUACUGGGCGUAAAGCGCGCGCAGGCGGUUCGAUAAGUUAGGGGUGAAAUCCCUGGGCUCAACCCAGGAAUGGCCUUUAAGACUGUCGAGCUAGAGGACGAGAGAGGUGAGUGGAAUUCCCAGUGUAGAGGUGAAAUUCGUAGAUAUGGGAAGAACACCGGUGGCGAAGGCGGCUCACUGGCUCGUUUCUGACGCUGAGGCGCGAAAGCGUGGGGAGCAAACAGGAUUAGAUACCCUGGUAGUCCACGCCCUAAACGAUGAGUGCCAGUGUCGGAGCUAGUCUCUCGCGCGCNGCUACGACCUACGUCACUCCGCCGUCGGGUAGGUACGGCCGCGAACGUAAACGUACGAACGAAGUAGACGGCGNGAGACGUGCCGACGGACGACGACGACGGGAGGUAGG